rnacentral:rRNA from 1 species
GAUUAACGCUGGCGGCAUGCCUAAUACAUGCAAGUCGAAUGGAAGAGCUUGCUUUUCCAUGGCGAACGGGUGAGUAACACGUAGGUAACCUACCUUAAGGACGAGGAUAACCUUUGGAAACGAAGGAUAAUACUGGAUAGGACAUUAUAAAGCACAUGCUUAAAUGUUUAAAGGAGCAAUCCACCAUAAGAGGGGCCUGCGGCGCAUUAGCUAGUUGGUGAGAUAAAGGCCCACCAAGGCGAUGAUGCGUAGCUGGACUGAGAGGUUGAACAGCCACAAUGGGACUGAGAACGGCCCAUACUCC